AAGUUUGACCUCAAAUCAGGUAGGAGUACCCGCUGAACUUAAGCAUAUCAAUAAGCGGAGGAAAAGAAACCAACCGGGAUUGCCUUAGUAACGGCGAGUGAAGCGGCAAAAGCUCAAAUUUGAAAUCUGGUACCUUCGGUGCCCGAGUUGUAAUUUGGAGAGGGCAACUUUGGGGCCGUUCCUUGUCUAUGUUCCUUGGAACAGGACGUCAUAGAGGGUGAGAAUCCCGUGUGGCGAGGAGUGCGGUUCUUUGUAAAGUGCCUUCGAAGAGUCGAGUUGUUUGGGAAUGCAGCUCUAAGUGGGUGGUAAAUUCCAUCUAAAGCUAAAUAUUGGCGAGAGACCGAUAGCGAACAAGUACAGUGAUGGAAAGAUGAAAAGAACUUUGAAAAGAGAGUGAAAAAGUACGUGAAAUUGUUGAAAGGGAAGGGCAUUUGAUCAGACAUGGUGUUUUGUGCCCUCUGCUCCUUGUGGGUAGGGGAAUCUCGCAUUUCACUGGGCCAGCAUCAGUUUUGGUGGCAGGAUAAAUCCAUAGGAAUGUAGCUUGCCUCGGUAAGUAUUAUAGC
rnacentral:rRNA from 1 species